rnacentral:lncRNA from 1 species
GAGCAAAGAGUGGAUGUUAAGGGGAAAAAAAAUCAAGAGUGAGAGCAGAUGUUGAAAGAGAAGAGAGAAAAAAAGGUGACGAAAAAAGAAGAAAGAUUCAAAGACGAUGGCUAUGAGAAGAACACAUGAUGUUGAACAUUGACAAUAUUGGAUGUUUGGACCAGGAAGUCAAAAAAGAGAGAUACAGAAAAUUAGACGUCAGAGUUUCAAAGAAAGAACAGACAGGACAAGACAAGAGAUCACUGCAGCUUUUUUGGAGGUAUGAGGAUGAAAGUGUAUCUAGGAAAAUCCAAGGAUCCUACAGAGGAAGCAUGUUCUGCUCUUCUCUGAAAUGGAGCAGAGCAGGCUGCAGAGAAAAGUUGUAUGCUACUGUUUAGUUAAAAGAAAGGAGGGAGCAGGAGUAAAAUAGAG